rnacentral:rRNA from 1 species
AUUGAACGCUGGCGGCAGGCCUAACACAUGCAAGUCGAGCGAGCGGCGGACGGGUGAGUAAUGUCUGGGAAACUGCCUGAUGGAGGGGGAUAACUACUGGAAACGGUAGCUAAUACCGCAUACCAUCAGAUGUGCCCAGAUGGGAUUAGCUGGUAGGUGGGGUAACGGCUCACCUAGGCGACGAUCCCUAGCUGGUCUGAGAGGAUGACCAGCCACACUGAAACUGAGACACGGUCCAGAUUCCUACGGGAGGCAGCAGGGGGGAAUAUUGCACAAGGGGCGAAAGCCUGACGCAGCCAGGCCGCGUGUGUGAAGAAGGCCUUCGGGUUGUAAAGCACUUUCAGCGGGGAGGCGUUACCCGAAGAAGAAGCACCGGCUAACUCCGUGCCAGCAGCCGCGGUAAUC